GACGAACGCUGGCGGCGUGCUUAACACAUGCAAGUCGAACGGAAAGGCCCUGCUUUUGUGGGGUGCUCGAGUGGCGAACGGGUGAGUAACACGUGAGUAACCUGCCCUUGACUUUGGGAUAACUUCAGGAAACUGGGGCUAAUACCGGAUAGGAGCUCCUGCUGCAUGGUGGGGGUUGGAAAGUUUCGGCGGUUGGGGAUGGACUCGCGGCUUAUCAGCUUGUUGGUGGGGUAGUGGCUUACCAAGGCUUUGACGGGUAGCCGGCCUGAGAGGGUGACCGGCGACAUUGGGCCUGAGGUACGGCCCAGACUCCAACGGGAGGCAGCAGUGGGGAAUAUGGCACAAUGGGCGGAAGCCUGAUGCAGCAACGCCGCGUGCGGGAUGACGGCCUUCGGGUUAUAAACCGCUUUCGCCUGUGACGAAGCGUGAGUGACGGUAAUGGGUAAAGAAGCACCGGCUAACUACGUG
rnacentral:rRNA from 1 species